GAUGAACGCUGGCGGCGUGCCUAAUACAUGCAAGUCGAGCGAACAGACGAGGAGCUUGCUCCUCUGACGUUAGCGGCGGACGGGUGAGUAACACGUGGAUAACCUACCUAUAAGACUGGGAUAACUUCGGGAAACCGGAGCUAAUACCGGAUAAUAUAUUGAACCGCAUGGUUCAAUAGUGAAAGACGGUUUUGCUGUCACUUAUAGAUGGAUCCGCGCCGCAUUAGCUAGUUGGUAAGGUAACGGCUUACCAAGGCAACGAUGCGUAGCCGACCUGAGAGGGUGAUCGGCCACACUGGAACUGAGACACGGUCCAGACUCCUACGGGAGGCAGCAGUAGGGGAUCUUCCGCAAUGGGCGAAAGCCUGACGGAGCAACGCCGCGUGAGUGAUGAAGGUCUUCGGAUCGUAAAACUCUGUUAUUAGGGAAGAACAAAUGUGUAAGUAACUAUGCACGUCUUGACGGUACCUAAUCAGAAAGCCACGGUUAACUACGUG
rnacentral:rRNA from 1 species